rnacentral:misc_RNA from 1 species
AACGGUCUAUACCUGCGGUACCUGCGGAAGGAUCAUUAGUGAACGCCCUCACGGGCUUAUAACUAUUCCAAACCUCUGUGAACCGUGCCCUUCGGGGCUAUUUUACAAACGUGGUGUAAUGAACGUCAUAUAUCAUAACAAAACAAAACUUUCAGCAACGGAUCUCU